UACGGAGGGUGCAAGCGUUAUCCGGAUUCACUGGGUUUAAAGGGUGCGUAGGCGGGCAUGUAAGUCCGUGGUGAAAUCUCCGAGCUUAACUCGGAAACUGCCAUGGAUACUAUGUGUCUUGAAUGUUGUGGAGGUGAGCGGAAUAUGUCAUGUAGCGGUGAAAUGCUUAGAUAUGACAUAGAACACCAAUUGCGAAGGCAGCUGGCUACACAAAUAUUGACACUGAGGCACGAAAGCGUGGGGAUCAAACAGG
rnacentral:rRNA from 1 species